CAGUAGCCGCGGGAAUACGUAGGUGGCAAGCGUUGUCCGGAAUUAUUGGGCGUAAAGCGCGCGCAGGCGGUUUCUUAAGUCUGAUGUGAAAGCCCACGGCUCAACCGUGGAGGGUCAUUGGAGACUGUUAAACUUGAGUGCAGGAGAGAAAAGUGGAAUUCCUAGUGUAGCGGUGAAAUGCGUAGAGAUGUGGAGGAACACCAGUGGCGAAGGCUACUCUCUGGUCUGUAACUGACGCUGAGGAGCGAAAGCGUGGGGAGCGAACAGGAUUAGAUACCCCAGUAGUCCCUGUCUCUUAUAU
rnacentral:rRNA from 1 species